rnacentral:lncRNA from 1 species
CAGACCUUUCCCUCCACUGUCAAAUCAUUUUGUACUGCUCUUGCUUACCACGGAGUCCAGAAAAUCUGAUUGUAAAGUAUGUUGGAAACUAAGUUAUGCAGGAAGAGUGAGAGGAGAGCUGGAUCAAGUGGAAACAAUAUUUUAGCACAUGACCAGAACAACCUACAUCAGCUCCCUGCCUGAGGAAAGACAGUUCAGUAAAAAUGAUGAGAACAAAAGUGAUGCUGUUGGAGACUGCACUGUUGAUGAGGCUUGUGUAACUGCAGUGUUUUGUCAGCUAAUCCAUAUCGCCAGCACUGAGACUGAGGCUGGAUCAUCACGUCAACACUUAGUAUGUGGAGUGAGAGCAGCUUAAUCUCAGUCUUAAAAGCAUUGAAGCUUUCUCUACCUUGCACUUAAAGGCUCUUUGCGUUUCCCACCAAACCAGAGGAAGAUUUUUUCCUGGCCUUGCUGGAACAAUUUUCAAGCAGUGAAGAAUCAUUCCCUCCAGAAACAUCUCAUUUCACAGCUGAGAGAAGCACUUCUGAAAGUUACACCAUCUGUAAAAUAUUUGUACCUUAAGCUCUCUAAAAUAAAGAGUUAGCCCUACUACGUAGGGAUAAUGUA